GGGGGUGUAGCUCAGCGGUAGGGCGCUUGCCUAGCAUGCAGGAGGUUCUAGGUUUGACCCCCUGCACCCACC
rnacentral:tRNA from 1 species